AUGCACCAGAAUGCAUUUAUUAAGCAUAGAAAUAUCAUGGAUGGAGUAUUGCCUUUGCAUGAGAUUUUGCAUCAUACUUCCAUCAAAAAAGGGCGUAUUGUUAUUAAGCUCGACUUCAAGAAAGCAUAUGACAAGGUGAACUGGGAUUUUCUGUUGGAAUGUCUCGAGAUGAGAGGGUUUGGUACCACUUGGUGUAAGUGGGUUAAAAGUAUCUUGGUUGAUGGCACAGUUAGUGUUAAGCUGAACAAUACCAUGGGCUCGUAUUUCAAAAGCUUUAAAGGGGUCAGACAGGGGGAUCUUGUGUCGCCGUUCCUUUUUAACAUAGCAGUCGAGUGUCUGUGUAAAAUGGUGCUACAGGCUCAGAAAAGUAACUUAAUUGUUGGGCUUGCACCGGACCUUAUUGAAAAUGGAGUGGCCAUUCUGCAAUAUGCAGAUGAUACAGUCUUGUGCAUAGACCAUGAUCUGGAUAAGGAUGUGAACAUGAAACUGUUAUUGUACAUCUUCGAGCUCAUGUCUGGGCUCAAACUAAAUUUUCAAAAAAGUGAAAUCCUGUGUGUAGGGGGGAUGAUGAUAUCCUUAAAGCAUAUGUUGAUAUUUUUGAUUGCCAAAUAG
rnacentral:rRNA from 1 species